GCGCCGGUAGCUCAGUCCGGAUAGAGCGGGGGACUUCUAAUCCUCAGGCCGCAGGUUCGAAUCCUGCCCGGCGCGCCG
rnacentral:tRNA from 1 species